CUCUAACUUUUAAUGUGAGAACUCGAUUCUAAAAAUUUACUUCGCAAAUAAUAGUAUAGAUAACAUGCGCCUUGCGCAAAAUGUGAUUAUUAGUUUCGUUAUUUUUAAUAAAAACAUUAAAUCUGUUUAGUUUGGAUAUUGGUUCGGUCCUAAGCUUCUUUUUUUGUUUUUAAUCUUCUAAAAUAUAAAUAUUAUUUUAAAUUAAUAUUCAUUUUAGUUUAUUCGGUUAAAAUGUUUGAUUUUAUUGGUUUUUCGGUAAAAACUAAAAUUUAAUAUUAUUUGUUUAUUUUCAUGUUGUGAAUUUUAGAUAGUCGUCGUGUCGAACCAAUAGUUUCAUAUUAUUGUUUCUAAACAGAUAAUAGUUUAAGAAAAAUAAAAGAAAAUUAUUAAGACAAAUCAUUUCACUACAAUUUGGUCGGUAGUGAAAGAAGCAUUAAAAAAAAAUAUUUAAACUUUCAAAAAUUAGAUAUUUUAGUUGUGGAGAAUACUUAGUUACAAGGUGUUAACAUCAAGGUGCACAUGUAUGUGUCACUACAAAAAAAGAAGCGCAUGUUGUAUCACUUAAAUUGCAUCACAAAAAUAAGUGUUGCUAUUUUAAAUUACUUAUUUACAAAUGAUAUAAAUAUACAUUAUUUAAAAUCAAUUGUAACAAUUGAUGUUAUUAUGAACUAAUUUAACAUCAGUUAAAACAAAAUGAUAUAAUUUCUAUUAAUUUGUAUCAUUUCAACAAAAUUGAUAUUAUUUUUAAUUUUAUAUCACUUAGAUAAUUGAUGCAUCUACUUUUUUUUUGUUAACAUCAUUUGUUAAAGUGUUACAAACUUAACAUCGAUAAUAAAUUGAUACCAACAAAAUUAUGCACCUAUAUUUUUAGUAUUAACUUUAAUUUGCAUUAUCUAAAAUACUUGUCUAAUAUAAAGCUUUUCUAGAAAACCAGCAUGCGUGAUUGUUAGUAGUUACGAUUCAUGUGGUUUUAGUAAUUAUUUUUAUUGUAGCUUCAACUUAAUUGAUCCAUGAUCUUCUAUAACUGCCUCAUGAUCUCAACAAAAGCAUAUAAUUCUAUUAAUAUUCUCACUCAUCGAUUUGUCUCCCUCUCAAUUUUGUAAACUUUUUAACAGUUCCACAUUUUCUGGACUGUUUCAAAAAUCAGAUAAUAGAGUGAGAAUUCAAAGUAGUAAUAUAAGGAAGGAAGGAAACAGAUUGUGCUGCGAUGAAUUACUUCACAAGUCGUCAAACAAGUUUUUCUUAUACAUGAUUUGAAAAGAAAAUGGGUCUUCUAAUCGGACAAAUCAGAAAGAAAUUUUCUGAAAAGAUGAAGAAUCUCUUGCAAAUUUAAGGAGUCAAGUCUUUGAAAAGCUAGACGAUGGAAAAUUCUUCAAUGAGUCUCAGUAAUUUCAGUUGUGGAAUGAUUCACGUUCAUGCUACAAUGGAGAUUGAAGAUGAAAACAAAGAAGAAGAAGAAGCUUUUUACUAUUUUACAAUCUUUUUCCAUGUGAAUUCAUUUUUUUUUCUACGUAUUUCUUUCCAUUUUCUUCUUGUUCUUCAAUUGUCGUUAAUAAAAAAUAUUUUAAUGAA